CUCUCCUCUGAGCCUCUACUACUGUGGGUUUGCCUGUCUCUCCUCUGAGCCUCUACUACUGUGAGUUUGCCUGUCUCUCCUCUGAGCCUCUACUACUGUGGGUUUGCCUGUCUCUCCUCUGAGUCUCUACUGCUGUGGGUUUGCCUGUCUCUCUGAGCCUCUACUACCGUUGGCCGUGUUAGGGCCCGCCUCUCCUUCUCCCUUUCCUCCAAUGACACUGACCCAGUUAGGGUCCGCCUCUCGUUCUCCCUUUCCUCCAAUGGCACUGAGCCAGUUAGGGUCCGCCUCUCGUUCUCCCUUUCCACCAAUGGCACUGACCCAGUUAGGGUCCGCCUCUCGUUCUCCCUUUCCACCAAUGACACUGAGCCAGUUAGGGUCCGCCUCUCGUUCUCCCUUUCCACCAAUGACACUGACCCAGUUAGGGUCCGCCUCUCGUUCUCCCUUUCCACCAAUGGCACUGAGCCAGUUAGGGUCCGCCUCUCGUUCUCCCUUUCCACCAAUGACACUGACCCAGUUAGGGUCCGCCUCUCGUUCUCCCUUUCCACCAAUGACACUGACCCAGUUCGGGUCCGCCUCUCGUUCUCCCUUUCCACCAAUGACACUGACCCAGUUCGGGUCCGCCUCUCGUUCUCCCUUUCCACCAAUGGCACUGACCCAGUUAGGGUCCGCCUCUCCUUCUCCCUUUCCACCAAUGACACUGAGCCAGUUAGGGUCCGCCUCUCCUUCUCCCUUUCCACCAAUGACACUGAGCCAGUUCGGGACACCGUCUUCCAGCUGAUGGUGAAACUCGAGUCUCACCACAUUAUUUCUGCCUCGUUAACAAAUUCACCUUGUUGCUCCUAUGAACAGAGAAAUUGAAAUUCCUUGAUAUUUAGAAAAACGACCCAAGCUUCUAAUAAUAACAAUGCAGGUCUAUCGAUACACUUUUCACCUCAUUCAUUACUGUUGACAGCUCUGAGUGGGACGAAGGACGAAGGCACGUGUUGACAGCUCUGAGUGGGACGAAGGACGAAGGCACGUGUUGACAGCUCUGAGUGGGACGAAGGACGAAGGCACGUGUUGACAGGGAGGAGUGGGACGAAGGACGAAGGCACGUGUUGACAGGGAGGAGUGGACGAAGGACGAAGGCACGUGUUGACAGGGAGGAGUGGACGAAGGACAAAGGCACGGGUUGACAGCUCUGAGUGGGACGAAGGACGAAGGACAAAGGCACGUGUUGACAGCUCUGAGUGGACGAAGGACAAAGGCACGUGUUGACAGGGAGGAGUGGACAAAGGACGAAGGCACGUGUUGACAGCUCUGAGUGGACGAAGGUCAAAGGCACGUGUUGACAACGCUGAGUGGACGAAGGACGAAGGCACGUGUUGACAGGGAGGAGUGGACGAAGGACGAAGGCACGUGUUGACAGCUCUGAGUGGGACGAAGGACGAAGGCACGUGUUGACAGCUCUGAGUGGGACGAAGGACGAAGGCACGUGUUGACAGCUCUGAGUGGGACGAAGGACGAAGGCACGUG
rnacentral:lncRNA from 1 species